GAUGAGCAUGCGUCCCAUUAGCUAGUUGGUAAGGUAACGGCUUACCAAGGCUACGAUGGGUAGGGGUCCUGAGAGGGAGAUCCCCCACACUGGUACUGAGACACGGACCAGACUCCUACGGGAGGCAGCAGUGAGGAAUAUUGGACAAUGGGCGCAAGCCUGAUCCAGCCAUGCCGCGUGCAGGAUGACGGUCCUAUGGAUUGUAAACUGCUUUUAUACGAGAAGAAACACUGAUUCGUGAAUCAGCUUGACGGUAUCGUAAGAAUAAGGAUCGGCUAACUCCGUGCCAGCAGCCGCGGUAAUACGGAGGAUCCAAGUGUUAUCCGGAAUCAUUGGGUUUAAAGGGUCCGUAGGCGGUUUAAUAAGUCAGUGGUGAAAGCCCAUCGCUCAACGGUGGAACGGCCAUUGAUACUGUUAAACUUGAAUUAUUAGGAAGUAACUAGAAUAUGUAGUGUAGCGGUGAAAUGCUUAGAGAUUACAUGGAAUACCAAUUGCGAAGG
rnacentral:rRNA from 1 species